rnacentral:rRNA from 1 species
UACGUAGGGGGCAAGCGUUGUCCGGAAUCAUUUGGGCGUAAAGCGCGUGUAGGCGGCUCGAUAAGUCUGCUGUGAAAGUUCAGGGCUCAACCCUUGAAAUGCCGGUGGAAACUGUCGGGCUAGAGUCCGGAAGAGGCGAGUGGAAUUCCUGGUGUAGCGGUGAAAUGCGCAGAUAAUCAGGAGGAACACCAAUGGCGAAGGCAGCUCGCUGGGACGGUACUGACGCUGAGACGCGAAAGCGUGGGGAGCAAAGCAGG